rnacentral:rRNA from 1 species
UAGCCGAUGGACAACAGGUUGAGAUUCCUGUACUACGGUAUGACAGAACUGUGGGGACACGUGUGGAGAGCACAGGCGCGGAAUGGAAAGCCGCGCGCAAGCGAAGCAGGAGGCGCAAAGGAAAAAACCGUGCGCCAAUCCAAAAGCGCGAUGCGGAGCGAAAUAAAGUAGUGAAGUGUGUGAGCCAUGCGUCAAGAAAAGCCGCUAUUGUUUGUACCGUACCCGUACCGUAAACCGACACAGGUGGAUGAGGAGAGAAUCCUAAGGCCGACGGAAGAAGCAUUGUUAAGGAACUCGGCAAAAUGACCCCGUAACUUCGGGAGAAGGGGUGCCUGGAAACAGGCCGCAGAGAAUUGGCCCAAGCAACUGUUUAGCAAAAACACAGGUCUAUGCGAAACCGUAAGGUGAGGUAUAUGGGCUGACGCCUGCCCGGUGCUGGAAGGUUAAGAGGAGGUGCUAGCGGAAACGCGAAGCACUGAAUUUAAGCCCCAGUAAACGGCGGCCGUAACAAUAACGGUCCUAAGGUAGCGAAAUUCCUUGUCGGGUAAGUUCCGACCCGCACGAAAGGCGUAAUGAUUUGGGCGCUGUCUCGACAAUGCAUCCGGUGAAAUUGAAGUACCAGUGAAGAUGCUGGUUACCCGCGCCAGGACGGAAAGACCCCAUGGAGCUUUACUCCAGUUUGGUACUGGGAUUCGGUAUUGCAUGUACAGGAUAGGUGGGAGGCUAAGAAAUGGGAACGCCAGUUUCCAUGGAGCCGCUGUUGGGAUACCACCCUUGCAGUACUGGGUUUCUAACAAGCCGCCGUGAACCGGCGGUGGGACAAUGCCAGGCGGGGAGUUUGACUGGGGCGGUCGCCUCCGAAAGGGUAUCGGAGGCGCCCAAAGGUUCCCUCAGAAUGGUCGGAAACCAUUCGAAGAGUGCAAAGGCAGAAGGGAGCUUGACUGCGACACCGACGGGUGGAGCAGGUACGAAAGUAGGGCUUAGUGAUCCGGUGGUAUUAAGUGGGAAUGCCAUCGCUCAACGGAUAAAAGCUACCCUGGGAUAACAGGCUUAUCACUCCCAAGAGUUCACAUCGACGGAGUGGUUUGGCACCUCGAUGUCGGCUCAUCGCAUCCUGGGGCUGUAGUAGGUCCCAAGGGUUGGGCUGUUCGCCCAUUAAAGCGGUACGCGAGCUGGGUUCAGGACGUCGUGAGACAGUUCGGUCCCUAUCCGGCGUGGGCGCAGGAUAUUUGAGAGGAGCUGACCUUAGUACGAGAGGACCGGGUUGGACUGACCUCUGGUGCACCGGUUGUCACGCCAGUGGCAUGGCCGGGUAGCCAAGUCGGGAAGGGAUAAACGCUGAAGGCAUCUAAGCGUGAAGCCCCCCUCAAGAUGAGAUAUCCCCCGCAGAAGCGGUAAGACCCCUUGAAGACGACGAGGUA